rnacentral:rRNA from 1 species
GUGGGGAAUCUUCCACAAUGGACGAAAGUCUGAUGGAGCAACGCCGCGUGAGUGAAGAAGGGUUUCGGCUCGUAAAGCUCUGUUGUCGGGGACGAAUGUGCAGUAUUUGAAUAAAGUAGUGCAAUGACGGUACCUGACGAGGAAGCCACGGCUAACUACGUGCCAGCAGCCGCGGUAAUACGUAGGUGGCAAGCGUUGUCCGGAAUUAUUGGGCGUAAAGGGAGCGCAGGCGGGAAGGUAAGUCGGUCUUAAAAGUGCGGGGCUCAACCCCGUGAUGGGAUCGAAACUAUCUUUCUUGAGUGCAGGAGAGGAAAGUGGAAUUCCUAGUGUAGCGGUGAAAUGCGUAGAUAUUAGGAGGAACACCAGUGGCGAAGGCGACUUUCUGGACUGUAACUGACGCUGAGGCUCGAAAGCCAGGGGAGCGAACGGGAUUAGAAACCCUGGUAGUCC